rnacentral:rRNA from 1 species
UAGGGAAUCUUCCGCAAUGGACGAAAGUCUGACGGAGCAACGCCGCGUGAGUGAGGAAGGAUUUCGGUUCGUAAAACUCUGUUGUUAGGGAAGAAAAAAUGUAUAGUAACUAUAUACAAAAGAGACGGUACCUAACCAGAAAGCCACGGCUAACUACGUGCCAGCAGCCGCGGUAAUACGUAGGUGGCAAGCGUUGUCCGGAAUUAUUGGGCGUAAAGCGCGCGCAGGUGGUUUAGAAAGUCUGAUGUGAAAGCCCACGGCUCAACCGUGGAGGGUCAUUGGAAACUAAUAAACUUGAGUGCAGGAGAGAAAAGUGGAAUUCCUAGUGUAGCGGUGAAAUGCGUAGAGAUUAGGAGGAACACCGGUGGCGAAAGCGGCUUUUUGGCCUGCAACUGACACUGAGGCGCGAAAGCGUGGGGAGCAAACAGG